rnacentral:rRNA from 1 species
UUGUAGCAUACAAGGCAUACGGCUCAGUAACGCGUAGUCAACCUAACCUAUGGACGGGAAUAACCUCGGGAAACUGAGAAUAAUGCCCGAUAGAACAUUAUGCCUGGAAUGGUUUAUGUUCCAAAUGAUUUAUCGCCGUAGGAUGGGACUGCGGCCUAUCAGUUUGUUGGUGAGGUAAUGGCCCACCAAGACUAUUACAGGUACGGGCUCUGAGAGGAGUAGCCCGGAGAUGGGUACUGAGACACGGACCCAGGCCCUAUGGGGCGCAGCAGGCGAGAAGACUUUGCAAUGUGCGAAAGCACGACAAGGUUAAUCCGAGUGGUUUCUGCUAAAGAAACCUUUUGUCAGUCCUAGAAACACUGAUGAAUAAGGGGUGGGCAAGUUCUGGUGUCAGCCGCCGCGGUAAAACCAGCACCUCAAGUGGUCAGGAUGAUUAUUGGGCCUAAAGCAUCCGUAGCCGGCUCUGUAAGUUUUCGGUUAAAUCUGUACGCUCAACGUACAGGCUGCCGGGAAUACUGCAGAGCUAGGGAGUGGGAGAGGUAGACGGUACUCGGUAGGAAGGGGUAAAAUCCUUUGAUCUAUUGAUGACCACCUGUGGCGAAGGCGGUCUACCAGAACACGUCCGACGGUGAGGGAUGAAAGCUGGGGGAGCAAACCGGAUUAGAUACCCGGGUAGUCCCAGCUGUAAACUAUGCAAACUCAGUGAUGCAUUGGCUUGGGGCCAAUGCAGUGCUGCAGGGAAACCCGUUAAGUUUGCCCCCUGGGAAGUACGUACCCCAGUUUGAAACUUAAAGGAAUUG